GUGGGGAAUCUUCCACAAUGGACGAAAGUCUGAUGGAGCAACGCCGCGUGAGUGAAGAAGGGUUUCGGCUCGUAAAGCUCUGUUGUCGGGGACGAAUGUGCAGUAUUUGAAUAAAGUACUGUAAUGACGGUACCUGACGAGGAAGCCACGGCUAACUACGUGCCAGCAGCCGCGGUAAUACGUAGGUGGCAAGCGUUGUCCGGAAUUAUUGGGCGUAAAGGGAGCGCAGGCGGGAAGGUAAGUCGGUCUUAAAAGUGCGGGGCUCAACCCCGUGAUGGGAUCGAAACUAUCUUUCUUGAGUGCAGGAGAGGAAAGUGGAAUUCCUAGUGUAGCGGUGAAAUGCGUAGAUAUUAGGAGGAACACCAGUGGCGAAGGCGACUUUCUGGACUGUAACUGACGCUGAGGCUCGAAAGCCAGGGGAGCGAACGGGAUUAGAAACCCCUGUAGUCC
rnacentral:rRNA from 1 species